CUUAAGGGACCAUUCAAGUGUUUUUAGGUCAUGCUAUAUUAAGAAGAAUCAAGCUACCAACUAUGAAUUGUGAAUUAAGAUAAAGAAAAAUAGAAAAAUCAAGGUUAUUUAACCCUAAUUUUCUAAUUAAGUUAUGAUGAUAGAAAAUUAGAAAUGAAGCAACAUGGGUAUAGAAUUAAUUGGUGGAGUGUGAUAUAGCAAUAUACUCUAAACAAAUAAGUCCAAUUAAUAUUCAAAAAAAUAAUGGAAAAUGGUAAGAUUUAUGAGUGUGCAUACAAGAUUAUUUUCUAGAACUCAAUCCAAUAACCAAUUAAAACUUGACAUGUGGUAUUAUUUUAUUAACUAAAAUAAAAAUUCAACACUAGUCCAAAAUUGACAUGUGGUUAGAAUUAUAAAUAAUAAAACUAAUACUAUUGUAAUUAAAAAAAGAAUAAGCGGCAUGUGAGACUAUAUGGUUAAUGCAUAGGAAAAGAAAGAAAAAGUUGCAUAAUAGUAAUGUAAAA
rnacentral:lncRNA from 1 species